rnacentral:snRNA from 1 species
AGUUUUGUGCAGGGGCAGUAUCAUAGUAUCGUAGCCAAUGAGGUUUAUCAAAAGUGUGAUUAUUGCUAAUUGAAAACUUUUCCCAGUACCCCUCCAUGACAACUAAAAAAUAUAGUCAGCAUUGGCAAUUUUCAAAUUUGAAAGUCUAUAUAGAGA